rnacentral:rRNA from 1 species
UACAGAGGUCUCAAGCGUUGUUCGGAUUCAUUGGGCGUAAAGGGUGCGUAGGCGGCUUGUCGCGUCGACUGUGAAAACCCGUGGCUCAACCAUGUGGUCUGCAGUCGAUACGGGCAGGCUAGAAUUCGGUAGGGGAGACUGGAAUUCCUGGUGAGCGGUGAAAUGCGCCAGAUAUCAGGAGGAACACCGGUGGCGAAGGCGGGUCUCUGGGCCGAUAUUGACGCUGGAGGAGCGAAAGCCGUGGGGAGCGAACAGG